rnacentral:rRNA from 1 species
AGAGUGAACGCUGGCGGUAGGCCUAACACAUGCAAGUCGAACGGCAGCACGGUAAGAGCUUGCUCUUAUGGGUGGCGAGUGGCGGACGGGUGAGGAAUACAUCGGAAUCUACCUUUUGGUGGGGGAUAACGUAGGGAAACUUACGCUAAUACCGCAUACGCCCUUCGGGGGAAAGCCGGGGACCAGCAAUGGCCUGGCGCUGAUAGAUGAGCCGAUGUCGGAUUAGCUAGUUGGUGAGGUAAUGGCUCACCAAGGCGACGAUCCGUAGCUGGUCUGAGAGGAUGAUCGAGCCACACUAGGAACUGAGACACGGUCCAGACCU